GACGAACGCUGGCGGCGUGCUUAACACAUGCAAGUCGAACGGAAAGGCCCUGCUUUUGUGGGGUGCUCGAAUGGCGAACGGGUGAGUAACACGUGAGUAACCUGCCCUUGACUUUGGGAUAACUUCAGGAAACUGGGGCUAAUACCGGAUAGGAGCUCCUGCUGCAUGGUGGGGGUUGGAAAGUUUCGGCGGUUGGGGAUGGACUCGCGGCUUAUCAGCUUGUUGGUGGGGUAGUGGCUUACCAAGGCUUUGACGGGUAGCCGGCCUGAGAGGGUGACCGGCCACAUUGGGACUGAAAUACGGCACAGACACCUACGGGAGGCAGCAGUGGGGAAUAUUGCACAAUGGGCGGAAGCCUGAUGCAGUAACGCCGCGUGCGGGAUGACGGCCUUCGGGUUGUAAACCGCUUUCGCCUGUGACGAAGCGUGAGUGACGGUAAUGGGUAAAGGAGCACCGGCUAACUACGUG
rnacentral:rRNA from 1 species